CCACACCUUCUUCAAUUCUCUUCAACUUCAAUCCCUUCUCUCUCUCUCUAUUAAAUUAAGCCUUAAAUCAAACCCAUCUCUCUCUCUCUCUAUCUUUGAUUUCUUGCUUAUAUAUAAAUAUAUGUAUGUAUACAUGGGGUUUGAACAUCCAAACCUACAAAACCAUCUCACUAUAGUUGGUAUCUUGAUCACCCCCUUAAUCUCUCUUUUGUUCUUCUCCAAGAUUUUCCAAUUUCAAGGUUAACUUAAUUGGUAGGUAAACAUGAGCCAAAGAAACGGAGGUAAGAGGCUAGACUUGAAGCUAAACUUAUCACCACCAAUUGUUCUUCGAAGAACCGAAGAAUCGCCAACAAGAUCAUCAACCAACACUACUUUGUCUCCAACAAGUUCAUGUGUAUCAUCAGAAAACAAUAUAAUUCAUGAUCAUACAUACUCAAGUAGCCCAGAAGCUACAUCAAUGAUGUUGGUUGGAUGUCCACGUUGUUUGAUGUAUGUUAUGCUUGCCGAGGACUAUCCUAAGUGCCCUAAAUGCAAGAGCACCGUUUUGCUUGAUGUCCUUCAUGACAACACCGCCAAGAAAACAAGAAAGACUUGAAUGAAAUAAAUUAAAGAGGGUGAAAAAAAAAGCCGCUUUUUAUAAUUUAGUUUAGCUUAUAUUUAGUAUUAGUAUCAUUAUUAGGAUUGUAUUUUAUUUUAUUUACUUUUAUGGAUAAUGUUAUUUAUACUCCAUUUAAUUUUAUCAUGUUGUAUAAGUGGAGUAUAAAUAACAAUACCCUUUUUACCUUUUUUAAUUGUUAAUUAUAUUUCCCUUUU